ACUUUCAACUGAUCUGGCAUUUCAUGUACAGCUGCCAAUCAAGAGCUGGGGGAUGCAAAUGAGGGAGGGCCAUUGGUGUUCAAUUACUGUACAGCGAGCGCGCCGCGGCGCCGUUAAUGACUGGCAGUUGUUUUGCUGAGUGGAGGAAGAGCAGAGAACAGAGGCAGGAAUUCCCUCCGGGAAGCCAGUUAAUUCCCUCUGGAGGAUGCUACUAAGGAGGCUAAUCAUGCCAACAAAGCCUUAAUGGUGGAAAUGAUUCACAGUCACUCAUGCUGUACCUCACUACUUCUCCUGACAUGUAGGAUGAGAGAAUCAGUGAGAAGACUUGGAAGAGGGAACUAAAACUGUGGUUUAUGCACUUUUUGUCACAGAAUCCUCCUCAGAAUCUGUUGAACUGUCCAGCAGGCUGACAGUGCCCAUCAUGAGGCAUCACACCCCAAAUCUGUCAACGGAUCAAAAAACUGCCUGAACACUGCAGAGCACCUACCAGGAUUCUAAUAUUCUUGUAUUAAAGGAUAUGAGAGAUUUUCUUGUAAUAUGACAAAAAAAUUGCCAUUUAUUGUA